rnacentral:tRNA from 6 species
GACACUUUGGCCGAGUGGUUAAGGCGAUGCCCUGCUAAGGCAUUAUCCGUUGGAUGCGCAGGUUCGAAUCCUGCAGGUGUCG